AUGGUGCUCAACGGCGUUCUGUUCUUGCUCGUCUGCGCGGCUGCUCGAGCUGCCGCUUCCGGCGGAGACGGCCCGCUGCUGAACGGCAACUUCGAGCAGGCGCCGAACAGGUCCCAGAUGAACGGCUCGAGGGUGACGGGGAAGUACGCGAUCCCGCACUGGAAGGCCACCGGGUUCGUGGAGUACAUCGAGUGCGGGGCGAAGCAGGACCACAUGGUCCUCGUGGUGCCGGAGGGCAGGCACGCCGUGCGGCUGGGCACCGACUCCUCCAUCGAGCACCAGCUCAGCGUGACGCGGGGCAAGUACUACUCCGUCACCUUCAGCGCGGCGCGCACCUGCGCCCAGUCCGAGAGGCUGAGCGUGUCCAUCGUCCCCGGCGACGCCUCCAGCGGCGAGCUCCCCGUCCAGACGGUGUACACGAGCAGCGGCUGGGACUCGUACGCCUGGGCCUUCAAGGCCCGGCAGGGCGUGGUGUCGCUCGUCAUCCACCACGGCGACGACCAGGUGGACGACCCCGCCUGCGGCCCCAUCGUCGACGCCGUCGCCAUUAGAACGCUCAACCCUCCCCACGCCACCCACCAGAACAUGCUGAUCAACGGGGACUUCGAGGAGGGGCCGUACAUGACGCCGGGGUCGCCGUGGGGGGUGCUGGUGCCGCCCAUGGACGAGGACGCCACGUCGCCGCUGCCGGGGUGGGCGAUCAUGUCCUACUCCAAGGUGGUCAAGUACAUCGACGCGGCGCACUUCCGGGUGCCGCACGGCUCCCGCGCCGUGGAGCUGGUGGCCGGCGUGGAGGUGGCGCUGGUGCAGGAGGUGGCCACCGUGCCCGGCAGGUCCUACAGGCUGCAGUUCUCGGUGGGCGACGCGGGAAACAGGUGCGCGGCGUCGCCCAUGAGCGUGCAGGUGGCCACGGCGUACGGGGGCAAGCGCGUCUCGUACGAGUCCCGCGGCACCGGCGGGUUCGUGCGCGACAAGCUCGACUUCAAGGCCGAGGGGAACAGCACCCGGGUGGUGUUCUACAGCACCGGCUACCACACCACGUCCGACAGCAGCGGCACGCUCUGCGGGCCCGUCGUUGACGACGUCUCGCUCGUCAGCGUUUCGCACCCGCAUGCUCGCCGGUUGCUCCGCUGA
rnacentral:rRNA from 1 species